AACCUAGCACACCUGCGGUGUGUACCUGCGGAAGGAUCAUUAACGAGUUACCACUCUAUAACCCUUUGUGAACAUACCUACAUGUUGCUUCGGCGGUCGGCCCCCCCGGGCCCCCGGCCCCGCUCACGCGGGGCGUCCGCCGGAGGAUAACCAAACUCUGAUUUAACGACGUUUCUUCUGAGUGGCACAAGCAAAUAAUCAAAACUUUUAGCAAUGGAUCU
rnacentral:misc_RNA from 1 species